rnacentral:rRNA from 1 species
UAACCUGCCCAAGAGAUCGGGAUAACACCUGGAAACAGAUGCUAAUACCGGAUAAUAACAGAUGAUGCCUAUCAACUGUUUAAAAGAUGGCUCUGCUAUCACUCUUGGAUGGACCUGCGGUGCAUUAGCUAGUUGGUAGGGUAACGGCCUACCAAGGCGAUGAUGCAUAGCCGAGUUGAGAGACUGAUCGGCCACAUUGGGACUGAGACACGGCCCAAACUCCUACGGGAGGCAGCAGUU